AUUGAACGCUGGCGGCAGGCUUAACACAUGCAAGUCGAGCGAGCGGCGGACGGGUGAGUAAUGUCUGGGAAACUGCCUGAUGGAGGGGGAUAACUACUGGAAACGGUAGCUAAUACCGCAUACCAUCAGAUGUGCCCAGAUGGGAUUAGCUAGUAGGUGGGGUAAUGGCUCACCAAGGCGACGAUGGGUAGCCGGCCUGAGAGGGUGAACGGCCACAUUGGAACUGAGAAACGGUCCAAACUCCUACGGGAGGCAGCAGUGGGGAAUAUUGCACAAUGGGCGCAAGCCUGAGGCAGCCAUGCCGCGUGUGUGAAGAAGGCCUUCGGGUUGUAAAGCACUUUCAGCGAGGAGGCGUUACUCGCAGAAGAAGCACCGGCUAACUCCGUGCCAGCAGCCGCGGUAAUUC
rnacentral:rRNA from 1 species